AUGGCUCCAUGCUGAAGAUAAGCAACUUGGUGGUGAAGGACAGUGGGGUCUACAAGGCUCAUGUGACAUUUUCCACAGGAGUGACUGAAACACACACGUUUGGCCUCACUGUCUAUGGCAUCUCAUGGGCCUCUGUAAGAAAAAGCUGCAGGAUCAGACUUCCAGUUGGUCACGACGCCAUCAGGACAGGGGAUUCUUCAGCUGAGGAAACCCCAGCGCUUUGAAGUUGACGAGAAUAGAGAACGCCUCUCUCUCUCUCUCUGACAAUGACUGAGCUGCAUCAACCCUCACUCCCCCCCCCCCCAAGAGGAGACAUUCCGGGGGGAAACAUUCCUUUGGGAGACUGGGUGCAUUAUGGCAUUUUUGCACAAGGUCGCUUUCUGAAUAAUACAAGUUGUUGGAAGCUACAAGUGAGGAGAGUGUUGCUGUUGCGCUCACGUCCUGCUCUCGGGGUUCACAGUGGGGCAUUUGGUUGGCCACUGUGAGAACAGGAUGCUGGACUAAGUGAAGCUUUAGGCUAAUCCAUGUUACUGGGAAAUUGGAAGGGGAGGUGAGAGACCCCCCCCCAAAAAACCCCUUCCUUCCUCACACUACAAGGCAAAGACUAAGAGCCUCCGCUGCACAUUAUUCACUGAUAAAUGUCUCUAUGUACUGGCUCAAUGGGAAAACUUUAGAAAUUCAUAUAAAAUCAGUCCAGUGAUGGAUUUGCGCCAUUCCAACAUUGUUCUACUCAGAAGGAAAAUCGCUAGCAGGGGAGGAGCUUGGGACGUGGGUAGGGGCAGCCAUAAUUGGCUCCACUGCCUGGGUGAUAAUUGCUGGCAUCCUGGCACCUGAGUGCCAGACAGGUAGUCAUUCCAAGAACAAUCCCAAACCCAACCUUAGUGGAUUGGGGUCUCGGCUUAACUUGGCUGGGAAAACAAGAAAAUGUCAAUGCUUACCUUUGUUUCACCUAAAGAUUGCAAGGGGGAGGUCAGGUUUCUGCCAGAAGAUCCCUCCCUGAGCCGAGGGCUAGAUUGAGAUUCAGCGCUGAGGUCCUUCUGGCGGUUCCCUCGCUGAGAGAAGCAAAGUUACAGGGAACCAGGCAGAGGGCCUUCUCGGUAGUGGCACCCACCCUGUGGAAUGCCCUCCCAUCAGAUGUCAAAGAGAAACACAACUACAGUCGUACCUUGGGUUGCGAACACUUCGGGUUACGAACAACCCGGGUUACGAACUGCGCAAACCCGGAAGUAUUUUCGGUGCGUGUGCGUGUGCAGAAGCGCCGCGCACAUUUGCGCAUGCGCAAAGCACAAAAAUAGCGGAAAUGGCGCUUUGCGCAUGCGCAAAAUGCCCUUUUCGGGUUACAAACUUUUCGGGUUACGAACUGCGAUCCGGAACGGAUCGCGUUCGUAACCCAAGGUACCACUGUACCAGACUUUUAGAAGUCAUCUGAAGGCAGCCCUGUUUAGGGAAGCUUUUAAUGUUCAAUAGACUAUUGUAUUUUAAUAUUUUGUUGGAAGCUGCAAGCCGCCCAGAGUGGCUGGAGAAACCCAGCCAGAUGGGCAAGGUAUAAAUAAAUAAAUGAUGAUGAUGAUGAUGACAUAGUUAUGACAAAUGUAUGAUGCUUUAGUAAGGGUGUUAUGGGUAAUUUGGGAAACUUAUAAAAAGGGGAGCCUUCCUUUGUUCAGGGCUUCUUUCUGCUUCUUCAACGUAGUAGUUUGAAGUCUUGUUGCAAUAAUAAAGAUCAGGCCUACUGGCUGCUGUUUUGCUUCUCUAAUCUUGGCUGGAGUCUUUGUUUGACAAUCCAAGAGAGCUGGGAAAUUCCCCCUGUAACAUCCAACAAAGCACUUCCUGUGUUAUAAUGAUGAAUGACUUGUGUCAACUGAUACCUCCACAUGGGGGCUCUCUGCAAAAGACAACCAUGUAGAGCAUGAUCCCAAUGGGUGAGAGGGAAGACCAGCAUGAUGAAAUGGGUAGUGCAGUUAUGGUGAGAAUGCAGCAGCUUCUCUGAAGACAAUUCCAUCAAGUCAUGAUGGCUGCAUAAUGGCUCCCGUUUCAGAGGCACCAGGCCACUGAAUAAUAAUGGGGAGCAGAAGUGGGGAGAGUUAUCAGGCCCCCUUUAGCCUGAUCCACUUGUAGGGCUCUUUGCAUGCUCUUAAUACAAGCAAGCAAUGCAAGAGCAGAAGUCAGUAGAUCAGACGCCAACCUAACAGCCAAUAAGGGAAAUCUAAGAACUGGAUAGGAAUUUGUUACAAGCUGUACGUAUGUUUGAACCCACAUGCAUGUCUGGCAUGUACAGUAUAGGAACUCACCAUAACAUGUUUAAAGGGAAUGGAAGCUUUUGUGUGGAAUCAGGGUGUGUGUUCAUUUAAAAUGUGUGCAUGCUUUUAAUCCAUACACCCAAUAAAGAGCUUUUCUACAAAAAGAGUUGUUUACUACACGGAAAUGAAAGAGGGGGAGUUUACGAGUGCUGCUUCAGACAGCGAGGUAACAGGCGUUACCAUUAACAUCCACACAGCUUAAUUCCAAACAGUUAAGGAUCCCUAAGUACCCAGAAGUCUUAGAGAAAGUGAUUGCAGCCAUGUGCCAUAGUAACCACUAGGGAUGGGAAGGUAUAUACCAAAUCUUGGAGGAAGAGGAACGCUAAGAGUUAAGCUUAACUUCUGAGAGUUAAGCUUCCUACUUCAGAUUCCUGUGCCAGCAAGGUAACAGUCUCUCACCCAUUCCUUGGUCCAGCAAAGUGUUGGGUUGGUCCAUGAGACGCUUGAGGAGCCAAGAGGGAGUCCCAUUGCAGCUGUGAGCUAACUAACCAUUGAAAAUCUGAGGUUUAAGUAUACUGAAACGUAUACCUGUAGAGAGCCAGUGUGGUGUAGUGGUUAGAGUGUCAGACUAGGACAUGGGAGAUAGGGCUGGGUGAUAUUAGGUUUUCAACAUCCUGCCAUAUCGCCAGGUAAACAUCACAAUAUAGUGAGGGCUGUGGGUUAAACCACAGAGCCUAGGGCUUGCUGAUCAGAAGGUCGGCGGUUCGAAUCCCUGUGAAGGGGUGAGCUCCCGUUGCUCGGUCCCAGCUCCUGCCAACCUAGCAGUUCGAAAGCAUGUCAAAGUGCAAGUAGAUAAAUAGGUACUGCUACAGUGGGAAGGUAAAUGGCGUUUCCGUGCGCUGCUCUGGUUCGCCAGAAGCGGCUUAGUCAUGCUGGCCACAUGAUC